rnacentral:rRNA from 1 species
GAAACGACUCUCGACAAUGGAUAUCUCGGCUCUCGCAUCGAUGAAGAGCGCAGCGAAAUGCGAUACGUGGUGCGAAUAGCAGAAUCCCGCGAACCAUCGAGUCUUUGAACGCAAGUUGCGCCCGAGGCCAAACGGUCGAGGGCACGUCCGCCUGGCCGUCAACC